GCCGGCCUGCUGCGUCGGGAUGACCGGUGCCGGUUAGCUCUUGGCGACAGGGUGUUCAGCGACACCACGACGUUCGUGCCGCCGAGCCGGCGC
rnacentral:tRNA from 2 species